ACUCCCCCGGCGGCCCCAGGUCCUGGGGCAUACCCACGCCCGGGGCGACGCCCGCCCCCGACAGGGUCCCCUCGGGCCGCCUCUGGGGCUGGUCUCGGCUCACGAGACCCACCCGGAGCCUUGCGAUCUUCGGGAGGUUCUCCUUGGGGACGCAGAGACCUCCCGAGGACUGUGACCGGGACGGUCCCACGCCGCACCAUUUGUGCUGACGCCCGCUGGGGUCCAGCGCGAGGACCGUCUGCGUCGCGGCAUGAGAGUGACAGCCACCGACUGGGGCGUACCCCAUCUGCUAGGCCGCCUUAGUUCAGUCCUGCCCUCCAGAAAUAUAACGCGAGCCACAUGCGUAGUCUUAAAUUUUACACUGGAUACUUCUCUAAAAGCGGAAUAAACUGGUGAAAUGUAAUCAAUCAUUUCACUAAUUAUUCGUGAGGUAUUUAACAUUCCUUGUUUUCGGUACCACGUCUUCAAAAUGUGAUGUGUCUUUUAUAGGAAGUCUAUUCGGAUACUGAAUUUACAUCGGAAAUGUCUGAUCCGUACUUAGAUUCAUUACAUUUGUCUUAUCAUCAAAAAACAGUUGAAAAAGUGGAUUCGCAUACUUGUUAUUGCAAGCAUAAGAACUUUCCACAAAUUGAAUCAAGUAUCUAAUUUUAAAUUUAAAUUUUAUUAAGUAUAAGAAGCAGCAGCAGCCUAUCAGCCGCACUAGCCGUAUUUUACACACUCGGUAGCCAUGUGGCGGUGAUUUGGCACUUGCUGUCACCAUGAGUCUGGUAUUUGGCCCAUAGGGUAGUUGUACCUAUUCAGAAGGAGGCCAAGGCCAGGGUCAGGAGUUUCCUGGAUGCCACGCGGGAUUUUGCAGUUUUAGAGUCAGAAAUUGAGACCUUCCUCCCUCACAACUUAAGUAUAAAGUGCUUGCAAAGACUUGUCUGGAAGUGUCAUCCUUUGCAAACAAACUUGAAAAUUAUUAAAACAAAGUAACUGC